CAGUCGCCGCGGUAAUACGAAGGGUGCAAGCGUUAAUCGGAAUUACUGGGCGUAAAGCGUGCGUAGGCGGUGAGUUAAGUCUGCUGUGAAAUCCCCGGGCUCAACCUGGGAAUGGCAGUGGAUACUGGCUCGCUAGAGUGUGUCAGAGGAUGGUGGAAUUCCCGGUGUAGCGGUGAAAUGCGUAGAGAUCGGGAGGAACAUCAGUGGCGAAGGCGGCCAUCUGGGACAACACUGACGCUGAGGCACGAAAGCGUGGGGAGCAAACUGGAUUAGAUACCCCAGUAGUCCCUGUCUCUUAUAC
rnacentral:rRNA from 1 species